rnacentral:rRNA from 1 species
GAUGAACGCUGGCGGCGUGCCUAAUACAUGCAAGUCGAGCGAACAGAUGAGGAGCUUGCUCCUCUGACGUUAGCGGCGGACGGGUGAGUAACACGUGGAUAACCUACCUAUAAGACUGGGAUAACUUCGGGAAACCGGAGCUAAUACCGGAUAAUAUAUUGAACCGCAUGGUUCAAUAGUGAAAGACGGUUUUGCUGUCACUUAUAGAUGGAUCCGCGCCGCAUUAGCUAGUUGGUAAGGUAACGGCUUACCAAGGCAACGAUGCGUAGCCGACCUGAGAGGGUGAUCGGCCACACUGGAACUGAGCCGCGGUCCAGACUCCUACGGGAGGCAGCAGUAGGGAAUCUUACGCAAUGGGCGAAAGCCUGACGGAGCAACGCCGCGUGAGUGAUGAAGGUCUUCGGAUCGUAAAACUCUGUUAUUAGGGAAGAACAAAUGUGUAAGUAACUAUGCACGUCUUGACGGUACCGAAUCAGAAAGCCACGGCUAACUACGUG